rnacentral:rRNA from 1 species
UUUGACCUCGAAUCAGGUAGGGAUACCCGCUGAACUUAAG